GCGGCGCACGGGUGAGUAACGCGUACGCAAUCUGCCCUUCAGUGAGGAAUAGCCCUGGGAAACUGGGAUUAAUACCUCAUAAUAUUGAGUAUUCGCAUGGAUAUUCAAUUAAAGUUCUGGCGCUGAAGGAUGAGCGUGCGUCUGAUUAGCUAGUUGGUAGGGUAACGGCCUACCAAGGCGACGAUCAGUAGGGGGCGUGAGAGCGUGACCCCCCACACGGGUACUGAGACACGGACCCGACUCCUACGGGAGGCAGCAGUAAGGAAUAUUGGGCAAUGGAGGCAACUCUGACCCAGCCAUCCCGCGUGAAGGAUUAAGGCCCUAUGGGUUGUAAACUUCUUUUGCUUGGGAAGAAAUCAGGACAUUUAUGUGCUGUUGACGGUACCUUGCGAAUAAGCACCGGCUAACUCCGUGCCAGCAGCCGCGGUAAUACGGAGGGUGCAAGCGUUAUCCGGAAUCACUGGGUUUAAAGGGUGCGUAGGCGGUUCGAUAAGUCAGAGGUGAAAGCUAGCAGCUUAACUGUUAAAUUGCCUUUGAUACUGUUGGACUUGAAUCAGGUUGAGGUAGGCGGAAUGUGACAUGUAGCGGUGAAAUGCAUAGAUAUGUCAUAGAACACCAAUUGCGUAGGCAGCUUGCUGGGCUUGAAUUGACGCUGAGGCACGAAAGCGUGGGGAUCAAACAGGAUUAGAUACCCUGGUAGUCCAC
rnacentral:rRNA from 1 species